rnacentral:rRNA from 1 species
AGUGAACGCUGGCGGUAGGCCUAACACAUGCAAGUCGAACGGCAGCACAGUAAGAGCUUGCUCUUACGGGUGGCGAGUGGCGGACGGGUGAGGAAUACAUCGGAAUCUACUUUUUCGUGGGGGAUAACGCAGGGAAACUUACGCUAAUACCGCAUACGACCUACGGGUGAAAGCAGGGGAUCUUCGGACCUUGCGCGAUUGAAUGAGCCGAUGUCGGAUUAGCUAGUUGGCGGGGUAAAGGCCCACCAAGGCGACGAUCCGUAGCUGGUCUGAGAGGAUGAUCAGCCACACUGGAACUGAGACACGGUCCAGACUCCUACGGGAGGCAGCAGUGGGGAAUAUUGGACAAUGGGCGCAAGCCUGAUCCAGCCAUACCGCGUGGGUGAAGAAGGCCUUCGGGUUGUAAAGCCCUUUUGUUGGGAAAGAAAAGCAGCAGGUUAAUACCCCGCUGUUCUGACGGUACCCAAAGAAUAAGCACCGGCUAACGUCGUGC